GACGAACGCUGGCGGCGUGCUUAUCACAUGCAAGUCGAACGGAAAGGCCCCUUUGGGGGUACUCGAGUGGCGAACGGGUGCGUAACACGUGAGUAACCUGCCCUUGACUUCGGGAUAACUUCAGGAAACUGGGGCUAAUACCGGAUAGGAAUCCUUGCUGCAUGGUGGGGGUUGGAAAGCUUCGGCGGUUUUGGAUGGACUCGCGGCUUAUCAGCUUGUUGGUGGGGUAGUGGCUUACCAAGGCUUUGACGGGUAGCCGGCCUGAGAGGGCGACCGGCCACAUUGGGACUGAGAUACGGCCCAGACGCCUACGGGAGGCAGCAGUGGGGAAGAUUGCACAAUGGGCGGAAGCCUGAUGCAGCAACGCCGCGUGCGGGAUGACGGCCUUCGGGUUGUAAACCGCUUUCAGCAGGGGCGAAGCUUGUGGUGACGGUACCUGCAGAAGAAGCACCGGCUAACUACGUG
rnacentral:rRNA from 1 species